rnacentral:lncRNA from 1 species
UCCUUUUUUCUUUUCUUUUCUUUUUUUCUGCCUGCAGAACUUGUGUAAAUACAUUGUUUGUAGGGUACCUAAACAAAGAAACCUAUAAAAUAGCAGCAUCAAUCAACUAUCAUGCCAUAACCCUCUUCAACCUCUUCCUUGAUGGAUUUGCACAUAGAAUCGUCUUUCCCUCUUUCUGUAACACACUACAUUUUAUCAGAGUAAGAAAAAUGAGUCAACAAACAAUAAACAGUCACAAACAGAUAAUUCAUCCUAUUGAGUCUAAACGGAAAGGAACUUUACUAUAUUAUAUGCGGAUACGUGCGAACGGCUGCCUACUUCCCUGGAAGCUGACAACCAAUCACUCCAAUAUGGCUUAAAUUAAGCUGUUAAAGAAAUGCAGAAAAAUGAUAGCAUUAGCAACAGCUCUUGGAAAAUGUUUUCUUCAUAUCAUAUAUCUGUUUAGAUUAUUUUCAUUGCAGGCUAUAAGAGUGAGUUGCAGAGUGCAACACGACGCAUUGCAUCCACCUAUAUCUCAAAAGAUACAUGUGUAUUAGUCUACUUUUGAUGCGUUUCGAUUAACCAUAUCGAAU